rnacentral:rRNA from 1 species
GACGAACGCUGGCGGCGUGCUUAACACAUGCAAGUCGAACGGAAAGGCCCUGCUUUUGUGGGGUGCUCGAGUGGCGAACGGGUGAGUAACACGUGAGUAACCUGCCCUUGACUUUGGGAUAACUUCAGGAAACUGGGGCUAAUACCGGAUAGGAGCUCCUGCUGCAUGGUGGGGGUUGGAAAGUUUCGGCGGUUGGGGAUGGACUCGCGGCUUAUCAGCUUGUUGGUGGGGUAGUGGCUUACCAAGGCUUUGACGGGUAGCCGGCCUGAGAGGGUGACCGGCCACAUGGGGACUGAGAGACGGCCCAGACUCCUACGGGAGGCAGCAGUGGGGAAUAUUGCACAAGGGGCGGAAGCCUGAUGCAGCAACGCCGCGUGCGGGAUGACGGCCUUCGGGUUGUAAACCGCUUUCGCCUGUGACGAAGCGUGAGUGACGGUAAUGGGUAAAGAAGCACCAGCUAACUACGU